GGGGGAAUAGCUCAGGUGGUAGAGCAUCGGUUUCUUAACUCAAAGGUCGUGCGUGGGUUCGAUCCCCGGCUUCCCCCG
rfam:Aphanomyces astaci strain APO3 cont1.3106, whole genome shotgun sequence.